ensembl:lncRNA
CAAGGAUUCAACAUCACACUGUUUUUGUUAGCUGCCUAUGUGUGUUUGUUUGCUGUGUAUCCAAAAGACAGAGGAGAUGAACAAGGAAAAGAAAAGAAACAAGGAAUCAGAUUGGAAAGACAGUAUGAGUUUGUGCUUAUGAAAUAAAACUUCUGUCCCUCUACACAGGACCCGGAGUCUGUCCCAAUUUCCUGUCUCUAACCUCACUGUAAGUGCUGACCCACUUCUGGCUAUUUUUAUUUGUUUCUUUGAAAAUGCUCACUGGGAUUGGAGUUGACUUGCCGACUCUGUUCUGUAUCCUUCCCACCACCUGAUCCCAGAGGGCAGAGCUUCCCACCUCAUGCCAGUGAUUACGGAGAUUUCUCCAGGAUGUUACCUGUAUGAGGUACACAGUGUGAGGACACGCUCCGUGCUUUUCCUACUUGGGUCCACACUAUUUAUUGCUUCUGCUAGAGAUAGACAAAGCCUACUUGAAAGCCGGGAAAUGAAGAACCUGAAGUUGGUGUGCACAGUGGGUAGAAAGUGAUCCUGCCACCCGAACCUUGGGGAGCAGUGGGCUCAGGCAGGUUUGUCACCAGCCAUCCUAGGGCCACCAUUCAUCUCAGCCUUCAUCAAUGUGUUCAUAAACGUGAACAGACUCAGUAAAUGUGACAAUCAUCUGAGCGGUGGUGUUCUGAGGAGGGGGAACGUUUUUCUGAAUUUGCGAAUGAGUCCAUGGGGGUCUUUGACAAUGGGUACAAGGAAGUAGACGAGACAGCAACUUUUAAUGCCGACUGACGUCCCACUAUAAUGAAGCAACAUGGUGGACACACAGGGGCCCGCCAGGCCGGAGGUGAGACCGCGGGGGACAGAGGCACCUGGAAAGAAGUGCGGAGCAGAUGUGACCCGGGAAAGCCUGUGGCGGAGGCCACUCCACACAAGAACCAAAGAGCUUUGGAAAGGAAGCAUUGCAGUGGGCAUAUGUGCCUCUCUGAACUUGUGCAACGGGCUGGUGAUUCCUCAUUGUUCUGUGAUGUUGGUUUCAGUUUUGUAAUGAGUUUUCAUGAAAAUAAUGAGCAUAAUGAAAGCCCACAUCCCUCUCAAAGUAGCAGAAUGGAAAACAGAACUCUGAAGAACCAGCUCUCUUGACAUUCUGAGGCCCAGAUAUUUCUCUCGGGGUUGUAGAACAACCUCGAACCUGCGUGUCUCCCUGGCCCCACUGGACACCUGCCCCUGGACCUUCCUACCAUCUAGGGGGUGAUGCACUUGAGUGAAGAUUCUCCAUGCGGCACCGGGGAUUUCUGCCAUUGUGAACUUUUUAACAGGUGUUCUUGGGAUGAUGAUUUUUCGGGUGUACCCCCCACCGGCAGCAGUUGCGUUUCUGGGCUUGCGAUUCAAGGCAUGACUGAGCAGGUGGGAGAUGAUGCCAUGCAUCUUUUGGCAUGAGGUCUCUUUCAAGUAAACGAAGAGGCGUUUUCGGAAACACUGCAGAGAGAGAAAUGUGAGCACAUAUUUUUUUGCUCUGGCCACCAUGAUUCUUUUGCAUCUGGUCACCAUUUCCCUGCACUCCAUGGUACCCCCUUCCCCAAGCUCCCGGGCCCACUAAUUGUGAGAUCAACGAAAAGCAUUAGCUAUGGACUCAGCACGCCUCCUCCCCUGAGCACUCCCGACAGCCAGCAGAAAUCAAUAAAUUAGGAUAAAGAAAAUGACA